rnacentral:misc_RNA from 1 species
GAAAUGCGAUAAGUAGUGUGAAUUGCAGAAUUCAGUGAAUCAUCGAAUCUUGGAACGCACAUUGCGCCCCUUGGUAUUCCAUGGGGCAUGCCUGUUCGAGCGUCAUUUGUACCCUCAAGCUCUGCUUGGUGUUGGGUGUUUGUCCCCGUCUCCGCGCGUGGACUCGCCCCAAAGUGAUUGGCAGCCGGCGUACUGGUCACGGAGCGCAGCACAUGUCGCGCAAACGAGUGCCUUGGUACGGCGGCGUCCAUAAGCCCCUCUCUCACGCUCUUGACCUCGGAUCAGGUAGGGAUACCCGCUGAACUUAAGC